UACGUAGGGUGCGAGCGUUGUCCGGAUUUAUUGGGCGUAAAGAGCGUGUAGGCGGCCAGAUAGGUCCGUUGUGAAAACUGGAGGCUUAACCUCCAGCGGUCGAUGGAAACCAUUUGGCUAGAGUCCGGAAGAGGAGAGUGGAAUUCCUGGUGUAGCGGUGAAAUGCGCAGAUAUCAGGAAGAACACCCGUGCGAAGGCGGCUCUCUGGGACGGUACUGACGCUGAGACGCGAAAAGCGUGGGGAGCGAACAGG
rnacentral:rRNA from 1 species